rnacentral:rRNA from 1 species
AUUGAACGCUGGCGGCAGGCCUAACACAUGCAAGUCGAACGCGUGGCGGACGGGGGAGUAAUGUCUGGGAAACUGCCUGAUGGAGGGGGAUAACUACUGGAAACGGGAGCUAAUACCGCAUACCAUCAGAUGUGCCGAGAUGGGCUUAGCUAGUUGGUGGGGUAACGGCCCACCAAGGCGACGAUCCCUAGCUGGUCUGAGAGGAUGGCAAGCCCCACUGGAACUGAGACAAGGUCCAGACUCCUACGGGAGGCAGCAGGGGGGAAUAGUGCACAAGGGGCGCAAGCCUGAUGCAGCCAUGCCGCGUGUAGGAAGAAGGCCUUCGGGUUGUAGAGUUCUUUCAGCGGGGAGGCGUUACCCGCAGAAGAAGCACCGGCUAACUCCGUGCCAGCAGCCGCGGUAAUUC